rnacentral:rRNA from 1 species
UACGUAGGGGGCAAGCGUUGUCCGGAAUCAUUGGGCGUAAAGAGCGUGUAGGCGGCCAGAUAAGUCCGCUGUGAAAUCUCGAGGCUCAACUUCGAGCUGUCGGUGGAAACUGUCUGGCUAGAGUCCGGAAGAGGAGAAUGGAAUUCCUGGUGUAGCGGUGAAAUGCGCAGAUAUCAGGAGGAACACCUGUGGUGUAGACAGCUUACUGGACCACUUCUGACGCUGAGACACGAAAGCGUGGGUAGCAAACAGG